GGGAGGGGCGCGCAGGCGCGGACCGCCUGGCGGUACUUUGAAGAAAGACUUCUCGACGCCGAGACACUGCUGGUGGUACUCGAUGUAGAUCACGUGGAUGGCAGGAGCAGUGGCAAAGGACUUUCAACUGACAGACAAGCAUGAGAUGGUGGUCAGCUACCUCCCACUCAGCCAUAUUGCAGCACAGAUGAUGGACAUCUGGGUACCCAUAAAGAUUGGGGCGCUCACAUACUUUGCUCAAGCAGAUGCUCUCAAGAAUUGGUCCAGUGAUUUGUUUUGACUGACAGAAAGGAGCAGAAGGGAUGCUGUGGAAAUUCUGGGACUGACAAAUCUUUGGGACCACUUGCUGUUGGGAGAGUCAGCCACCAGGUUAAGAAGUUCAAGAGUGAUGGCCAAGCGUGGUGGCUCAUGUUUGUAGUCCCAGCACUUUG
rnacentral:lncRNA from 1 species